UUCGAGAGGCAAUUAUUCAGUGGAUAUUUGUGGAGAGAUUAGUGAGUUUGUUAGGUGUGAUUUUCUCUAUUUUUGAGUUGUUUCACUAGGGAUCAGGGUUUUUUGGAUAGGAUAGAGGGUCUUUGGUGCCUUUGGACCGAGUUCGAUGGUCCCUGUUUUUGCCUCCUUUUGUUAAUAAGGUUUGAAAGAGAAUUUCAGGUCGGAUGUUUGACAGAGAAAAGGAUGGAUGAUUUAAAGUCAUUGCCCGAGGAUGAAUGGUUCUGUGGUGAACAAUGCAACAUGAUGCAUUCACCUCUUCGGAAGUUUUCUGCCGACGGAAAUUUGAAGCUUCCCAGAACUGUUGUGAAGAUUUUGAAGAAGAAAGUUAAGGGAAAAGCUUCAACGCCGAACCCAUAUUAAUUGGAGUGCAGCUCUCACUCUCAAUGAUAUUGGGGUUUCUGGAAGAUAAACUGAAGGUGGAAUGCUUGCAAGAAUAUAUACUCUGCCUGUAGGAGGAUAUUAUGGGCUCCUGCUGCCAAGAAGUCAAAAAGUUCUCAGAAGAAGUUGUCCAAUGC